GUAUAUGGCCAUGCUACCCUGAACACUCUGAUCCCGUCCGAUCUCAGAAGCUAAGCAGGGUCGAGCCUGGUUACUACUUGGAAGGGAGACCACCUACGAAGACCAGAUGCUGUAGGCG
ensembl:rRNA 5S_rRNA 5S ribosomal RNA